CUAAUACUCCCUUGGUCCGCAAAUACUUGUCAUAGAAAUAAAUGUAUCUAGACAUAUUUUAGUUUUAGAUAUACCCUUUUCCAUUCAUUUACGAGACAAGUAUUUACAAACGGAGGGAGUAUGAA
rfam:Hordeum vulgare subsp. vulgare, WGS project CAJW01000000 data, contig: morex_contig_1559275